rnacentral:rRNA from 1 species
CCUACGGGAGGCAGCAGUGGGGAAUAUUGCGCAAUGGGCGAAAGCCUGACGCAGCGACGCCGCGUGAGGGACGAAGGUCUUCGGAUCGUAAACCUCUGUCAGCAGGGAAGAACGGUCCCUGUGCUAAUCAGCAGUGAAUUGACGGUACCUGCAUAGGAAGCACCGGCUAACUCCGUGCCAGCAGCCGCGGUAAUACGGAGGGUGCGGGCGUUAAUCGGAGUUACUGGGCGUAAAGCGCACGUAGGCGGUAUGGUAAGUCAAGGGUGAAAUCCCCGCGCUCAACGUGGGUACUGCCAUUGAAACUGGCAAACUAGAGUGUGUGAGAGGAUAGUAGAAUUCUAGGUGUAGGAGUGAAAUGCGUAGAUAUCAGGAGGAACAUCGGUAGCGAAGGCGACAAUCUGGCACAUAACUGACGCUGAGGAGCGAAAGCGUGGGUAGCAAACAGGAUUAGAUACCCCGGUAGUC